AUUGAACGCUGGCGGCAUGCUUUACACAUGCAAGUCGAACGGCAGCGGGGUAGUGCUUGCACUACUGCCGGCGAGUGGCGAACGGGUGAGUAAUAUAUCGGAACGUACCGAGUAAUGGGGGAUAACCAAUCGAAAGAUUGGCUAAUACCGCAUACGUCCUGAGGGAGAAAGCGGGGGAUAGCAAGACCUCGCGUUAUUCGAGCGGCCGAUAACUGAUUAGCUAGUUGGGGGGGUAAAGGCCUACCAAGGCGACGAUCAGUAGCGGGUCUGAGAGGACGAUCCGCCACACUGGGACUGAGACACGGCCCAGACUCCUACGGGAGGCAGCAGUGGGGAAUUUUGGACAAUGGGGGCAACCCUGAUCCAGCCAUGCCGCGUGUAUGAAGAAGGCCUUCGGGUUGUAAAGUACUUUUGUUAGGGAAGAAAAGGGAAGUGCUAAUACCACUUUUUGCUGACGGUACCUAAAGAAUAAGCACCGGCUAACUACGUG
rnacentral:rRNA from 1 species